CAGUGCGUAGCAAUACGCAUGGGUGGCGAGUGGCGGACGGGUGAGGAAUGCAUCGGAAUCUGCCCAGUAGCGGGGGAUAACUCGGGGAAACUCGAGCUAAUACCGCAUACGACCUAAGGGUGAAAGCGGAGGACCGUAAGGCCUCGCACUAUUGGAUGAGCCGAUGUCGGAUUAGCUAGUUGGUAGGGUAACGGCCUACCAAGGCGACGAUCCGUAGCUGGUCUGAGAGGACGAUCAGCCACACUGGGACUGAGACACGGCCCAGACUCCUACGGGAGGCAGCAGUGGGGAAUAUUGGACAAUGGGGGAAACCCUGAUCCAGCAAUGCCGCGUGUGUGAAGAAGGCCUGCGGGUUGUAAAGCACUUUCGGAGGGGACAAAAAGCGUCGGGCUAACACCCAGGGCGUCUUGAUUUAACCCUCAUAAGAAGCACCGGCUAACUCUGUGCCAGCAGCCGCGGUAAUACAGAGGGUGCAAGCGUUAAUCGGAAUUCUGGGCGUAAGCGCACGCAGCGGCUGCAUAAGCCGGUCGUG
rnacentral:rRNA from 1 species